rnacentral:rRNA from 1 species
GACGAACCGUGCAAACGUUAUUCGGAAUCACUGGGCAUAAAGGGCGCGUAGGCGGCUUCAUAAGUCAGGGGUGAAAUCCGGCAGCUUAACUGUCGCAGUGCCUUUGAUACUGUGGAGCUCGAGGGAGGUAGGGGUCUGUGGAACUUCCGGUGGAGCGGUGAAAUGCGUUGAUAUCGGAAGGAACGCCGGUGGCGAAAGCGACGGACUGGAUCUCUUCUGACGCUGAGGCGCGAAAGCGUGGGGAGCGAACAGG